CCCGCCAUUCGUUCAUUCGUUCAGUGAUCAGUUCGCGAGUCCCACGGUAGUAUUUCACGGCCUGUCCAGUCGCCUGCACAUCCGUUAUUUACCGCUUUUACUUCGGACUUAGUCGCGCUCGAAAGUUUUUCUGUUGAAUCUCUGCCCCAUCGUUUCGAGUCCUCGAUUGCGUUGUACCUAUUCCAUCUCCCACGCUAACUUUCGUAUUUUCACGGUUCUACUAUCAUGGAAGGGCAUCUCCUCGGCAGUCCAAUCACAGAGGCUUCGGUUUUGCUAAUUUUAGCCGUUGUGUCGCACGUACUCUACGAACUUUUAUUCAGUGGCCCUCCGUCGUCUGGCAGACGUGUUAAAGGUGUCCUUGUGAUCAUGAGAAUUUUCCUUUUCCUUCUUGCCAUCGCAUUAAUUCUGGAGAUGCUGCUGCUUGUUAUGAAUUGGCGAAUUUUGACGUUGAUCUUUGUUUUCGUGACCGUCGACUAUUUAACGGAUCAGGCGUUGGGCGAUGUUUGGAUUUGGGUCAUACUUUUCAUUCUCGGGCUGAUGUUUUUGCCGGCUGCUCGCCUGAUACCUAGCUUUGCUGCAGCGACUAGGCGCAAUACGUCGAAGAAGAGCAAUCAAGACUUCCUGUUCCACCACUUUGGCAGAUCUCCGUCGGCGUAGGAGCUUCGUCAACACGAAUGGCGAUGAUGGUGUCAGUGUCAGCUACUGUCGGCUACAGGAUGAGAAUAAGGUAUUCACUAUGGGAGAUCCCCCAGAUAACAAACUAUCGGAUCAAAUGCACAAUCGAGCAAUCAUUUUACCAUUGUGUGUCGACCUGGUUGGAGCCUUCAACAAUUGUUAAAGCCUUCUGUCAUAGAGUGUUUCUUCACGUUUCAAAAUGGCAAUGAUGGUGUUGGUGUCAGCUACAAGAUGAGGCAUUUACUACUAGAGAUUCUUUAGAUAGGAAACUACAGGAUCAUAUGCAGGACCGAGCUAUCAUUUUACAGUUGAAUAUCGACCUGGUAUCCAGCUCCCAACAAUUGUUGAAGGUUCCAGUCUUUGAGAACCGAAGUCCCUCCUAAUUGAAGAAGAUAGUUCACAAGUUGCUGUGCUCCAAGCAGUGAUUGGAAGCUCCAUGCCUUAUGCCUCGAGAAGAUAGUUCACAAGUCAUUGUGCCCCAAGCAGUGAUUGGGAGCUCCAUGCCUCAUGCCUCGAGCCAGCUAUUGCAAAUCUACUGUUCAGAAUUUUUCUGUCGCUGCACUAAGCAAUAUUGUUCAAUUUACUCAGCCACUUCAUGUGUAUACCUUUACGAUUCUUUAAUGCAAUGGGCCAACUUGUCGGCAUGAAGUAUCAAGUCUCAUUUUUACCAACAGGUCAGCAGCUCUCUAGGUGAGGGUCAUACCUUCUCGAAAAUUUAAACGUGUAUUACUCUUAAAGUUGUAAUUAAAAAAAAAAGGUAGAAAACCUAUCAGCUUUUCUCUAAAAUUCAAAAUUUCUUUUUGCUCCAGGUACUCUAACAUUAACUUUGCUGCUGUACAGCUUCAAAUUAGCGAGUUAAAUGAGGUUUCUUACCAAGUAAUGAGAAGCACGACAACAAGAGGCUUACUUCACGAGCUUAUAUUACGGCAAUUAAAUAUUAGUCAAAAGUUUUAAUUGAUCUAGAUUAUGGGGGUUUUUCGAAAUGAAUGUGAAAAAGACUUUGAAUUAUUUUUCUACCAUGCAAAAGCGUUCCCUUAAAUAUGGUUAUCAAGAUGUUUGCCUUUUUAUUUUGAAAAUCGAAGGGACAAGACUCUUUUUAACAUUUAUAACUAAUUUUUUUUACGUACAAGUUGCUUUCCAAUAUUGCUUAAAACAUCUUCUACCUAUUUUCCUCAACUCUUUGAUCCCCAGUUAAUCUUCUAAAUAUUUGAUAUUACCUGUCCACUGUGAAUGUUCCUAUAGUAAUUUUUCUCAACUUGUAGACGCAUUAGUACUUCUGUGUUCAUUCGGCUACCUACCACAUUAGUUUUUAAGUUCUCAUAUCAUUUACAGUCUGCAUGAAGGUUACAUGCAUGUUCGACUUAUGUACAUUUGGCACUGCCCUCUGGAAUUAUUAAGAUUAAAUGUUUACCAUAUUCACAGA